CCCGAGGGCGAGUGCUGCCCGCGCUGCGUCUCGGACCCGUGCCAGGCUCACGCCAUCCGCAGCGACAUCACCAAGACCUGCGAGGACGAGCACGGCAUCACGCGCUUCAGCGGCUCGUCCUGGGUCAAACACGGCACCGACUGCACACUGUGCCAGUGCAAGAACGGACACAUCUGUUGCUCAGUGGAUCCCAUGUGUCUUUAGUCGCUGCGCUCGACGCUAACAGCACCUGUACAGUCUCACGCGACCGUCCCUCCACAGCCUUCCCCAAAUAAUGCCAAAUAUGAAUCGUGUAUAAUAUCAGACAGACGUCAGCGUACCUGAGGCCAUUUCUGCACAAACGAGGACUAUAACCCCACCGACCACGCACACGCCGGCAUGACCACACUGGAUGUCUAAAGAAUAAAACAUUCAUUCAUUUUUAUCUCUUCAACGAUCACAGGAUGUAGAAAU